rnacentral:ncRNA from 1 species
CAGAAACGAGGAAGGACGUAGUAAUUGACGAAAUGCUUUGAGGAGUUGAAAAUAAGCAUAGAUUCGGAGAGUUUCGAAUAGGGCAACCUUUCGAACUGUUGUUGAAUCCAUGGGUAGGCAAGAGACAACCUGGUGAACUGAAACAUGUUAGUAGUCAGUGGAAAAGAAAGCAAAAGUGUUUCCGUAGUAGCGACGAGCGAAAUGGGAGCAGCCUAAACCUUCGUAUAUUUCAAUAUCUCUG